rnacentral:rRNA from 1 species
CCUACGGGAGGCAGCAGUGAGGAAUAUUGGUCAAUGGGCGCUAGCCUGAACCAGCCAAGUAGCGUGAAGGAUGACUGCCCUAUGGGUUGUAAACUUCUUUUUUAUGGGAAUAAAGUGCAGUAUGUAUACUGCUCUGCAUUUACCUUAUGAUUAAGGAUCGGCUAACUCCUUCCCAGAGGCCGCGGUAAUACGGAGGAUCCGAGCGUUAUCCGGUUUUAUUGGGUUGAAAGGUAGCGUAGGAGGGUUGUUAAUUCGGUUGGGAAUGUUUGCGGCACAACGGUAGAAUUGCAGUUGAUACUGGCAUCCUGGAGUGCGGAAGAGGUAGGAGGAAUUCGUGGUGUAGCGGUGAAAUGCUUAGAUAUCACGAAGAACUCCGAUUGCGAAGGCAGCCUGCUGGACUGUAACUGACGCUGAUGCACGAAAGUGUGGGUAUCAAACAGGAUUAGAUACCCGGGUAGUC